rnacentral:rRNA from 1 species
GAGAGUUAAAUAGUACGUGAAAUUGUUGAAAGGGAAACGAUUGAAGUCAGUCAUGCUAGUGAAAAUUCAGUUUGACGGGUUUUGGGUUUAGGAGUAAGAGGUAGGGUUAAACCGUCUCUCUUUUAAACUUGGGAUUUGUCGGAUGCACUUUUUCUUUGGCAGGUCAGCGUCGAUUUCGGGGGUUGUAAAAUACUUGGGGGAAAGUAGCUCUGCUUCGGGAGAGUGUUAUAGACCUUGGGAGAUGCAGCCCGUGGGAUCGAGGAUUGCAGCAAAUGCCUUUGGCUUGUCUUCUGAUCUUUGGUUGUUACCUCGUUUAUGACAACAUUCUUGUCAUCGAUGAGUUCUAAUGGUUAUGGGUUAGAAUGAUCAAAAAUUUGCUAAGGAUGCUGACGUAAUGGCUUUAAACGA